rnacentral:lncRNA from 1 species
AUGCAGGCAUUGACUGAAGAACAAAUACAGACAAACAAAUGCAGGAGCAGCAGCUGCAAGAUGAGGAACAAAAAAAUGAAGCAAAUCCAGUGUCAACUACAGGUAGAAACACAGGAACUUGCAGGCUUCAGGAAGUACACUGGCUCCAGCUAUAUUACAGCACAUGUCUGUAGUACCUGCCAUUCCAGCAGAGCUGGAGAGCCCGUAAUGCUGUCAGUUUUUUCGAGCAGAAGCAUCCGACAGCAUCAGCUGUAGYAACCAUCAGUCUGAUGACAGCUGUGCAGACAGGAUGCUUCUGAUGACUUAGCUUAUGUCAGGUAACUUUUUACUUUUUUCUUCAUGUUCUGCUAUUGAAAAUAAAUUUCUUAAAUCUUCAGUAAAUAUCA